GACCAGGUGACGCUGGUGCAGGCCCACAUCAUCCCCACCUUCUACUCCAUGGAGUCCUUCGAGACCGCCAGCAACCCCGUCCGCACCCAGGCCUCCGGCACCGACGGGCCCUGCACCGUCAACGUCACCGCCACCAGCAACAGCGCCGUCAACGUCUCCACGGGGAUCGUCCACACCACCGUCGGCACCGCGCUGCGCGCCACCAGGCCGCUCGCCGUCUACUCCGUCGACAAGGUGCUGCUGCCCAUGGACCUCUUCGGCCCCAAGCCCCCGGCGUCCGCGCCGCCGGCCCCCGGCAAGAAGCCCUCGUCGGCCAAGGGGGCAGCCAAGGCGCCCUCGGGCGACGACGAGGACGAGGAAGAUGCCCCGCCCGCCGGUGCCGCCACCGCCGUCGGCGCCGGAUGGAGGAGCCUGGUCGCCGUGGUGGCAGCCGCCACCGCCGCGUGCCUCUUGUAAGAAGAAGAUCAUGGUUCAUGAGACCGACAGAUCGAUGGAGACUAGCUGCGUGCGUGCAUGUUGUGCAUGGAUUUGGAUAGCUUACGAGUAGUUCUUGGUGGCUGCUGCUUCUCUUCUUUCUUUUGUUAAAUGUUCAGUUUUGCUGCUCUUUUUCUUCUUCUCUUGUUAUUGAACCGGCGAGAAAGUUUGGGCUAAAAUGUGACGAAAUGUUUCACUGUUGAAUCAAGCCGUCGUUGGGUGAUUAAAUUCUACUAGCACUGCAUUUUAUCUUCAGCUAUUUAGCCGUUA
rnacentral:lncRNA from 1 species